UACGGGGGAUGCAAGCGUUAUCCGGAAUUAUUGGGCGUAAAGGGUCCUGAGGUGGCUAGCCAAGUCUAUUGUGAAAUAUCAGGGCUUAACCCUGAACAUGCGGUGGAAACUAGAAAGCUUGAGUACAGUAGGGGCGGAGGGAAUUUCCGGUGGAGCGGUGAAAUGCAUAGAUAUCGGGAAGAACACCAACGGCGAAAGCACUCUGCUGGGCCGACACUGACACUGAGAGACGAAAGCUAGGGGAGCGAAUGGG
rnacentral:rRNA from 1 species